UAUCUCUUUAGGAUGAUUUAAAUCAUAUAUUUGAAUAGGUGAGAAGGCCAUAGAGAAAGCAAAUGAUUUAAAUAGUUUUUGAAUAUUUGAGAUUUACAAAUGAAGAUGGAGCAUGGAGAAUGACUAUAUAUCCUUUUUUCUAGGAGGAACCUAAGUCUUAUAGAAUUCCAGCGAGAUACAGAAAGGAACUAAAAUCUUUUGAGCACCUGCAAUACUUUGGGAAAUAUGUCAGUGGAGAAGAAAGGAGAGAUGUGCAUAAGCUCUGAAGAAACUUCCUGGAAGAAUUAUUCAGAGACACAUGCAGGUGAUUUGUAGGUGCUGGGUUUCAGAGACAAGCAAGACACUGUUUCUGUUCUGGAAGAACUCAAACUGAUGGAGGAGACAGAAAAUCCAUCAAUUAUGGAAGACUGGAGACGGAAAAAUGGCAAGGGAAAGGCAUGACAUCUUGCCUUUGGGAAGUAGAGAGGUAAAGAGAAGUCUCUUUGGGGGGAGAUGAGCGCUGCUCUGGGAAGGCUUGGCCAAAAAUAGCAAACUGCACAAAGCAUUCCAAGACCAUGCAUUUGAACAUGAAAAUUGCCUGGCUCAUUCAGAGAUUUACAGCUUCUUUUGGUCUAAGUAGACCAGGUUGAGUUAAGCUCAUUAACAACCAAGAAUCC
rnacentral:lncRNA from 1 species